UCACGGUUUGCACCGGCAGUCUCGUUAGAGUUCCCGACAUGACUCGCUGGCAACUAACGACAGGGGUUGCGCUCGUUAUAGGACUUAACCUGACACCUCACGGCACGAGCUGACGACAACCAUGCAGCACCUUGUAAUGAGCCCGAAGGAGGGCCUGUUUCCAAGCCUGUCCCACUACAUUUAAGCCUUGGUAAGGUUCCUCGCGUAUCAUCGAAUUAAACCACAUGCUCCACCGCUUGUGCGGGCCCCCGUCAAUUCCUUUGAGUUUCAAACUUGCGUUCGUACUCCCCAGGUGGGAUACUUAUCACUUUCGCUUAGCCACUGAACUUGCGCCCAACAGCUAGUAUCCAUCGUUUACGGCGUGGACUAC
rnacentral:misc_RNA from 1 species